UACGUAGGUGGCAAGCGUUUGUCCGGAUUUACUGGGCGUAAAGCGUGCGCAGGCGGUUUUGUAAGUCAGAUGUGAAAUCCCCGGGCUCAACCUGGGAACUGCGUUUGAAACUACAAGGCUAGAGUGUAGCAGAGGGGGGUAGAAUUCCACGUGUAGCAGUGAAAUGCGUAGAGAUGUGGAGGAAUACCAAUGGCGAAGGCAGCCCCCUGGGUUAACACUGACGCUCAUGCACGAAAGCGUGGGGAGCAAACAGG
rnacentral:rRNA from 1 species